AUGUGCGGCUGGGCGGGUGGACGCCGUGCGGGGCAACAUGGUUUCUUGGGUAGCAUGCAUGUGACUAGGCGUUGCAUACACCAUACAGUCGAUGACUGCUCAUGCGUGCCAUGUGGGCAUGCAUCGCCAAGUGAACGCAUGGCCAAUCAUGACCGUCAUGUUGCUGUAGCUGGAUCGCUGACUCGUCCUUUAUUGCUCGUCCCAAUCUCACGUGCUCGUCCGAUCGAUCGAAAUCUUGUCACCGCCAAGGACAGAGCGUGGCUCCGAGAGAACGUACGAGGGAGACUGAGCCGAUACACAGGUCACCUCCUGAUCCCCGACCCCGGCGACAACCGGCUCCAUCUGCAGCUAGGACCUGACGGAAUCGUCCCAUGCCAAUGCCCUACCAUACCCGUCGAUCGCUCUCAUGCAUGCAUCUCAUGCGUGCCGUCUGAGAGGAGAGACCCCAUAGUGAUUCCGAGUAGUAUAUAA
rnacentral:rRNA from 1 species